CCUACGGGAGGCAGCAGUGAGGAAUAUUGGGCAAUGGACGAAAGUCUGACGCAGCCAUGCCGCGUGCAGGAUGACAGCCCUAUGAGUUGUAAACAGCUGUUGUACGAGGGUAAUAACCGAUACGUAUAUCUGCUUGAAAGUCUCGUACGAAUAAGAAUCGGCUAACUCCGUGCCAGCCGCCGCGGUAAUACGGAGGGUGCAAGCGUUCUCCGGAUUUAUUUGGUUUAAGGGGUGCGUAGGCGGGUUUAUAAGUUAGUUGUGAAAAUUCGGGGCUCAACUCCGGACGUGCCUCUAAUACUGUAUGACUAGAGAAUAGAUGCGGUAGGCGGAAUGUAUGGUGUAGCGGUGAAAUGCGUAGAGAUCAUACAGAACACCGAUUGCGAAGGCAGCUUACCAAACUAUAUCUGACGUUGAGGCACGAAAGCGUGGGGAGCAAACAGGAUUAGAUACCCUAGUAGUC
rnacentral:rRNA from 1 species